UACGGGGGGAGCAAGCGUUGUUCGGAUUUACUGGGCGUAAAGGGCGCGUAGGCGGCACGACAAGUCGGGAGUGAAAGCCCGGGGCUCAACCCCCGGAAUGUCUCUCGAAACUGUCGAGCUAGAGUGCGGAAGAGGCAACUGGAAUUCCCAGUGUAGCGGUGAAAUGCGUAGAUAUUGGGAAGAACACCUGAGACGAAGGCGGGUUGCUGGGCCGACACUGACGCUGAGGCGCGAAAGCCAGGGGGAGCGAACGGG
rnacentral:rRNA from 1 species